rnacentral:rRNA from 1 species
AGAGUUUGAUCCUGGCUCAGAACGAACGCUGGCGGCAUGCCUAACACAUGCAAGUCGAACGAGACCUUCGGGUCUAGUGGCGCACGGGUGCGUAACGCGUGGGAAUCUGCCCUUGGGUUCGGAAUAACAGUUGGAAACGACUGCUAAUACCGGAUGAUGUCUUCGGACCAAAGAUUUAUCGCCUAGGGAUGAGCCCGCGUCGGAUUAGCUAGUUGGUGGGGUAAUGGCCUACCAAGGCGACGAUCCGUAGCUGGUCUGAGAGGAUGAUCAGCCACACUGGGACUGAGACACGGCCCAGACUCCUACGGGAGGCAGCAGUGGGGAAUAUUGGACAAUGGGCGAAAGCCUGACGGAGCAAUACCGCGUGAGGGAGGAAGGUUCUUGGAUUGUAAACCUCUUUUCUCAGAGAAGAAUAAUGACGGUAUCUGAGGAAUAAGCAUCGGCUAACUCCGUGCCAGCAGCCGCGGUAAUACGGAGGAUGCAAGCGUUAUCCGGAAUGAUUGGGCGUAAAGCGUCCGCAGGUGGCAAUGUAAGUCUGCUGUCAAAGCGUCUGGCUCAACCAGAUAAAGGCAGUGGAAACUACAUAGCUAGAGUAAGGUAGGGGUAGAGGGAAUUCCUGGUGUAGCGGUGAAAUGCGUAGAGAUCAGGAAGAACACCGGUGGCGAAAGCGCUCUGCUGGACCUUAACUGACACUGAGGGACGAAAGCUAGGGGAGCGAAUGGGAUUAGAUACCCCCGUAGUCC